rnacentral:rRNA from 1 species
UUUAAAGAAAAAUUUUUAUUCUCUGCUUAAUGAAUAGUUUUUUAUAGCCGCAAUAGUGCUAAGGUAGCAUAAUAAUUAGUUUUUUAAUUGAAAAAUAGAAUGAAUGAGAAUAUUAAAUUAGUAGUUUCUAUUACAAAAAAUAAAUUUUUAUUAUUGGUGAAAAUACCAAUACAAACUUUUUAGACAAAAAGACCCUAUGAAGCUUUUUAGAUAAAUAUUUUAUAAAAAUAAAAAUCUAUUAUUUGGGGUAAAUGAUAAUAAAAUUAUUAUAAAUUUUAGAAUAAAAAAUAUCCUUUAGGAAUAAUGAAAUAGCUCCUCUAGGGAUAACAGCAUAAUAAUUAUUAAAGUCCAUAUUUAUAUAAUUGAUUAUGACCUCGAUGUUGAAUUAAGAAUCCUAAUAUGUGCAGCUGCUGAUUAGAAUAUGUCUGUUCGACAUAAAAAUUC